AUGAAGGCGAGGGGAGAGACUGUUUAUACAGCGCCGAAGGAGCAAACAAGCUUUUUGUGAAUCUCUCAGGCAAAAGAACUCUUGCUGGACG
rnacentral:ncRNA from 2 species